UCAAGCGUUUAAGGGCGUAUGGCGGAUGCCUAGGCACUGAAAGGCGAUGAAGGACGUGGUAUACUGCGAUAAGUUUCGGGGAGCUGUAUGCAGGCUUUGAUCCGAAAAUUUCCGAAUGGGACAACCCACCACUUUAUGUGGUACUUCAAACUGAAUUCAUAGGUUUGAAGAGCUAACCCGGAGAACUGAAACAUCUAAGUAACCGGAGGAAAAGAAAUCAAUUGAGAUUCCGUUAGUAGUGGCGAGCGAACGCGGAACAGGCCAGCAACAAUAUUAAGAUAACCUAAAUAGUUUGGAAAAACUAACCAUAGAAGGUGAUAGUCCCGUAGGGGUAAAGCUUAAUAUUGUUCUUGAGUAGAGCGGGACACGUGUAAUCUUGUUUGAAUAUAGGGGGACCACCCUCUAAGCCUAAAUACUCUUCAGUGACCGAUAGUGAACUAGUACCGUGAGGGAAAGGUGAAAAGAACCCCUAUUAGGGGAGUGAAAUAGAACCUGAAACCGCAUGCCUACAAUCAGUCGAAGCUCUUUUUAGAGUGACGGCGUACCUUUUGUAUAAUGGGUCAGUGACUUAAUUUAUUAAGCAAGCUUAAGCCAUCUAGGUGUAGGCGCAGCGAAAGCAAGUCUUAAUAGGGCGAUUAGUUUAAUGAAUUAGACCCGAAAACGAAUGAGCUUACCAUGAGCAGGUUGAAAGCAAGGUAACACUUGCCGGAGGACCGAACCAGUUGACGUUGAAAAGUCUUUGGAUGACUUGUGGUAAGGGGUGAAAGGCCAACCAAAUUCGUAGAUAGCUGGUUUUCCGCGAAAACUAUUUAGGUAGUGCGUUGAGUAAAUUGAUGUUUGGAGGUAGAGCACUAAAGGGGCUAGGGGAGAGAAAUCUUUACCAACCCUCAUAAAACUCCGAAUGCCAAACAUUUUACCUCAGCAGACAGACUGUGGGUGCUAAGGUCCAUGGUCGAAAGGGAAAAAGCCCAGAUCACCAGAUAAGGUCCCUAAAUCAUGAUUAAGUGUGAAAGGAUGUGGAGAUUCCUAAACAGCCGGGAGGUUGGCUUAGAAGCAGCCAUCCUUUAAAGAUAGCGUAACAGCUCACCGGUCUAAUAGAGUUUCUGCGCCGAAGAUGUAACGGGGCUAAAAUCAUAUACCGAAUCUGUGGAUUUAUAAUUUUUUCGAAAAUUAUAACUGGUAGCGGAACGUUCUGUAAGCCUGUGAAGGGAUACCCGUGAGGGAUCCUGGAGGUAUCAGAAGUGCGAAUGCUGACAUAAGUAACGAUAAAAGAAGUGAAAAACUUCUUCGCCGAAAAUCCAAGGGUUUCUGCGCAAGGUUAAUCCGCGCAGAGUUAGUCGGCACCUAAGGCGAGGGCGAAAGCCGUAGUCGAUGGAAAUAAGGUUAAUAUUCCUUAACCAGAUGGUAGUGACGGAUCUUGUAAGUUGUGAGUUCUUAAUGGAUUGAACUUGCCGCGAAAAGGUUCCAAGAAAUAGCUCCAUCAUUAGACCGUACCCUAAACCGACACAGGUGGAUUAAUAGAGUAUAUUUAGGCGCUUGAGAGAAUGAUGUUGAAGGAACUCGGCAAAAUGCUUCCGUAACUUCGGAAUAAGGAAGACCUUUUAGUAGGCAACUAUUAGAGGGUGGCACAAGCCAGGGAGAAGCGACUGUUUAUCAAAAACACAGGGCUCUGCUAACACGUAAGUGGAUGUAUAGGGUCUGACGCCUGCCCGGUGCUGGAAGGUUAAUGCGAUCAGUGCAAGCUGAUUUCUGAAGCCCCAGUGAACGGCGGCCGUAACUAUAACGGUCCUAAGGUAGCGAAAUUCCUUGUCGGGUAAGUUCCGACCUGCAUGAAUGGCGUAACGAUUUCUCCGCUGUCUCCAACAUCAACUCAGUGAAAUUGAAUUCUCCGUGAAGAUGCGGAGUUCGCGUAGUUAGACGGAAAGACCCCGUGCACCUUUACUGCAACUUUACAUUGGUGUUAGGAAAAACAUAUUUAGCAUAGGAGGGAGACAUUGAAGCAAAGGCGUCAGCUUUUGUGGAGUCACCAGUGAAAUACCUCUUUUGUUUUUCUUGAUAUCUAACUGAUUGCCGUUAUCCGGCAUCAAGACAUUGUAUGGUGGGUAGUUUGACUGGGGCGGUCGCCUCCCAAAUAGUAACGGAGGCGUGCGAAGGUA
rnacentral:rRNA from 1 species